UGUGAGCAGGAGGACAAGUGUCACUGUCAGCUCACUCCGAAGUGUUUUCAGGGUUAGGGUUUAGAAAAGUAGAUGGGGACUGGACGGGCUGGAGGUAGGUGUUUAGAAGGGAAGAUCACUUCUCGUGGAAGAUGGGCACUGGUUCCAGUGUGCAGCACUUCCUGACUCCAGAAGCCCCAUCUACUCGUUCUCCGUAGGAACACCGAGCCGGCGCUAAGUCUUUCCACCCUUCGCGUCUGCCUCCAACCCCAUCACCUCUUCUCUCCUCCUGCUCCUGUUUUAGCCUGAACGCUGCAAAGCUUAGAAGUGUGCAGAGUCGCCGGUCAAGAGCACAUGCGAUGCUGACUGGCCUUAAGUCCUCCAGCUCCAGGCGGGUGGCUUUGCCUGACUUCCGAUCUUGAGCCCAGCAGUCUCAGGGGUCCGCAGUUCGCGUCCUCGCCUUACCCAGGUUUUGUGGGCGUCACUUCGGCUUCCUUGCAACGGUGCAAACUGCUUGCAGACAGGAAGACAAAACUGCGAGUUCCAUGAGACAAAGCACCAUUUGGAUUUUGCUCAUCCUUAUAGCCCUGGUGCCGGACCUGACAUUUACUUCUCACCUGCUUGUACUCACCAACCUUUGUCUCACAUUUUUCCUUGAACUCUUCUUUCCCGCUUACCUCUUAACUCAGGGCAAAGAAGCCGGAAACCACCUGACAAGACCUCUUGCUGGGCCCAGACCUCCUAGACCUUUUGAGCUACACCCCCACUAGCGUCUAUGCAAAUGGACUAGGGAGUAACCUCAGGAAUGACCUACCAUUACCUUUAUCUCCUGUCAAUACUAAAAUCCUAGCCCAAGGAAGAGCACAAGCCUCAUUGACACAGCAUACAAUGUGUUUAUCAGCAUGUUUCCUUAAGGUGCAUGCGUGACCUUGUGCCCACCUGUACAUAUGAUGACAAGGCUUGCCUAUCUAAGUAUUUAUCCUAACCCUAAACAAAAGGAACCCAUGGGGAGUCAUGGCUUUGGAAGCCAUUCCCUGUGAUCUCAUUUGCUGCAAAUAAAAGUUUUCUUUGUGAGAUGCU